AUACGUAGGGGGCGAGCGUUGUCCGGAAUGACUGGGCGUAAAGGGCGCGUAGGCGGCCCGGUAAGUCUGGAGUGAAAGUCCUGUUUUUAAGAUGGGAAUUGCUUUGGAUACUGUCGGGCUUGAGUGCAGGAGAGGUAAGUGGAAUUCCCAGGGUAGCGGUGAAAUGCGUAGAGAUUGGGAGGAACACCAGUGGCGAAGGCGACUUACUGGACUGUAACUGACGCUGAGGCGCGAAAGUGUGGGGAGCAAACAGGAUUAGAUGCCCUGGUAGUCCACACUGUAAACGAUGAAUGCUAGGUGUAGGGGGUAUCGACCCCUUCUGUGCCGCAGUCAACACAAUAAGCAUUCCGCCUGGGGAGUACGGCCGCAAGGUUGAAACUCAAAGGAAUUGACGGGG
rnacentral:rRNA from 1 species